AAGGCGUUUAAGUAGAUUUAUUAUAUAAGAAAGCAAACACAAAAUCAUUUAUGGUUCAGUCAAGGAUCAGAGUAGUAAACUAUUAUUCCCGAGGUGGGGCCGCAUGCUCACGACCCACCUAGUUAGGUAGCAUGCUUAUUCUAAACCUUAUUGUGAUGUCUAGGUUCAAAGCAGGCCUUUGCUCGAAUACAUUAGCAUGGAAUAAUAGAAUAGGACGUGCGGUUCUAUUUUGUUGGUUUCUAGGACCGCCGUAAUGAUUAAUAGGGAUAGUCGGGGGCGUCAGUAUUCAGCUGUCAGAGGUGAAAUUCUUGGAUUUGCUGAAGACUAACUUCCUCUGAAAGUAUUUGCCAAGCAUGGUUUCAUUACUUAAGGGAAUGAAAGUCAUGAGAUUAAUUAUAAUCAGAUACCAUUAUAGUAUAGUUAACUAUUAACUAUACUGACUAGAGAUUGCACCGUGUUUCUAUUAUCCUCCAUUCAGUAUUUUACACGAACUCAAAGCUUUUGGGUU
rnacentral:ncRNA from 1 species